rnacentral:rRNA from 1 species
AGUGAACGCUGGCGGUAGGCCUAACACAUGCAAGUCGAGCGGCAGCACAGGAGAGCUUGCUCUCUGGGUGGCGAGUGGCGGACGGGUGAGGAAUACAUCGGAAUCUACCUUUUCGUGGGGGAUAACGUAGGGAAACUUACGCUAAUACCGCAUACGACCUACGGGUGAAAGUGGGGGACCGCAAGGCCUCACGCGAUUAGAUGAGCCGAUGUCCGAUUAGCUAGUUGGCGGGGUAAUGGCCCACCAAGGCGACGAUCGGUAGCUGGUCUGAGAGGAUGAUCAGCCACACUGGAACUGAGACACGGUCCAGACUCCUACGGGAGGCAGCAGUGGGGAAUAUUGGACAAUGGGCGCAAGCCUGAUCCAGCCAUACCGCGUGGGUGAAGAAGGCCUUCGGGUUGUAAAGCCCUUUUGUUGGGAAAAAAAUCCUGUCGAUUAAUACUCGGUGGGGAUGACGGUACCCAAAGAAUAAGCACCGGCUAACUUCGUG